AAUUCAGUGAAUCAUCGAAUCUUUGAACGCACCUUGCACCCUUUGGUAUUCCGAAGGGUACACCCGUUUGAGUGUCAUU
rnacentral:rRNA from 1 species